GAAAUCUGAAAAACAGCACGGUCUGAAUCAGGGCACUUUGCUGCAGGACCCCACCUUGCUGAAUUCCUGGAGGGAGAGAUGCAAAGCCCAGCUGGAUGUGAGGGAGCCAUCUGAGCCAAAAUAGGAGCUGAAGCCCCAGAAAGUGGUGGGGUAGAGCUGUGAAUCCUAGCAACAGGCGGGGAAAGAACUGUACGUUUCCUCACGUCCUCCAAGUGUUGGUGCCUUCUGGUACAUCCCUGACAGGAAGAGACAGAGACCAUGGAAAGGCCCUCCUUGCUGAUGCAUCAAGAAAGGGCACAUUUUUUCCAGUGGGAUGGGUUUUGACUCAGUUACUUGUCUGGGAGGCUGCUGUGUGAAGGUGGAGCCCCCAAACUGGAGCUUUUUUCCCUUAACCCUCCCGCACCACUGGGAAUAAUAAUUCCUCACAGGGCUGUUGCACAGCUUGAUUCAUUAAGGCUUAUGAAGUGCUUUUAGCUCCGGCACUGAAAGGCUCUGUGCAAGUUAUUUUGGACGGCUCAGGUGUUAGGAGGAGAGGUGUUGCAGAAGGAAUGCAAAUAAAUCAAGAGACACUGCCCCUUCCUUCCACGCAUCCCCUGCCCCGCACGGAUCUCCAUCACUGUUGGUGUCAAACAGUUAAUUUACAAGCCCAGCACUUUACAAAGCCCCUGGAGCACCAAUUGUCCCUUUCUCAUGCAACAUCAGCUCCUCAGAACAGCCAGCUGAGUCUCCGGGGUCAGCCUGCUCCUGCCCUUCCCAAGGCAACUCCAGCCUCUCUCCGGAACCGCCUGGGUGUUUAUUUAUUUUUGGACAAGUCAGCUCCAUCACCAGCACCCCCCCAGCAGCAGGAUGCACUGCAAUAACCGGGGUGCAGGUGGAGAUGUGAAGUGUGCCAUGUGCUUGGCCCAGGAGGGUACAUUGGUUUGGGGAAGGUGACCCAGAUCCCACCCAGCGCAGCACCCAUGGGCGCAGCCCCAGGCAGCGCGGGGAGACUCAGCCCGGCAGGACAAGCCAGCAGAGCGAUGGGCAGAGGAGCAGGCUCGUGCCUGGGGAAGGUGAAGGCGGUGGAUCUUUCACACGGCUUUUCCUCCCCCUCCCUCCAUCCCUCCAUCCCUCCAUCCCUCCAUCCCUCCCUCCCCUCCUCCAGUCUGUUGCACGGGAGCUGCCGGCCAUGCUGUUCCAGUUCAGGGGCUCCUGCAACAGAAAAGAUCAGCUGUUGGAGAACCCAUGGAAAGCCCUGGGGGAGAGCCAUGGCCGCAAGAGGACCAGGUGAUUCCAGACACAGCUCUAGCAGAUGGUUUUGGUGGUGGAAAGCACACGGGGAUCACUCCCAGGAGCUGCUCAGGCACAGCCAACAGAGGGAGCAGGAAUUCCUGAGCAGCACAGCGUGCCUGGGCUCUGCCAUCCCCCCGUGUUUGACUGCUGGCACACAGACCACAGGCAGCAAACGGUGCCAGCCCUGGAGGAAUAAGGUGCUCUGAGCCCCCUUCUCCUGCAGCAGGACAUGGGACAGCUCAGCUCCUCAGAGGACCCUACUCCAAACAGUGAUCUGAAAAUAGGAAAGUGGAGCAAGACACCAGCAAAGACAAGGCCAGUCUGGAAGGAAGGAUGUGAAACAGCAAGGGUUCACAUUUUUGAGCUUAGCUCUCUUCUACAAAAUACUUCCCUGCUCAAAAAGGGGAAAGAUAGUAGGGAAAAGAUGUGUCAGAUGAAACAAGCAGACAAAACCAGACAUACCUGUCUAAUAAUUACAAAUUACACCAGUUCUUUUUUUCAGAUUAAUUUCUAUCUGAAAAUAAACACUCUAUUCCCUUUUCUCCCUCAGCAAGCACAGGGGUCUGCCUGCCUUUCUUGUGAGACCAGGCACGUUCUCCAGCAUCACAGAAAUCCAUGUCCACAGCAGAAAUCCUCCCUGCACCCACCCAGGUUCCAGACCCCCAUCUCUCCAUUCACUUUGUUCUCCAGCCACCCCUGGGACAGAUAAAUAAGUGGUUUUCUCUGGUGGAGCUGUUUCUUUAUCCCAGCUGAAAAUGCCAUUAUCCUAUAGCUUUAUCUAAAACCUAUAGAUCUGUGUUGAUAUUCAGAUCACAGCCAGGUUUGAACUUCCCAGUGUGCUGCUUCUUAGGGAGAAAGGGUGUUGCUGAAGAAAGUUUGUGGGGUUUCACAACAGCGAGUGGAAGGUGCACGUGGGCAGCAGAAGGGCACAUCAGGCUGAUACAAACUGCUAAAUUCCAGACUGCCCCAGCUGCCUCUGACUUCUCAUCCACACACAAAUGAGGCUUUGUUGCAAGACGAGCACAAACUGUAUUUUUCAAAUUAAAAGAAAUAAUUUACUGAGGGUUUUGGGUUUGUUUUUUUUUUCCCUCCCCAAAUAACAGAAUUCGAAUAUAUUAUUUGAAAAAUUACAUUUUCUUUUUCCACCUCACUGCGUCCAAUGAUUGUGGUGUGAUUAUUAAACACUUCAUAAAUAAUAAUGUGACAUUUUUAGAUUGUGUGUCUGAUUAAGCAGCCAUUCUUCUCUCCCUGACUGCGGCCCUG
rnacentral:lncRNA from 12 species